UUGAACGCUGGCGGCAUGCCUUACACAUGCAAGUCGCACGGUAACGCGGGGCAACCUGGCGACGAGUGGCGAACGGGUGAGUAAUGCAUCGGAACGUGCCCAGAAGUGGGGGAUAGCCCGGCGAAAGCCGGAUUAAUACCGCAUGAGACCUGAGGGUGAAAGCGGGGGAUCGCAAGACCUCGCGCUUUUGGAGCGGCCGAUGUCAGAUUAGCUAGUUGGUGGGGUAAAGGCCUACCAAGGCGACGAUCUGUAGCUGGUCUGAGAGGACGACCAGCCACACUGGGACUGAGACACGGCCCAGACUCCUACGGGAGGCAGCAGUGGGGAAUUUUGGACAAUGGGCGCAAGCCUGAUCCAGCCAUGCCGCGUGCGGGAAGAAGGCCUUCGGGUUGUAAACCGCUUUUGUCAGGGAAGAAACGCUCUGGGCUAAUACCCUGGGGUAAUGACGGUACCUGAAGAAUAAGCACCGGCUAACUACGUG
rnacentral:rRNA from 1 species